rnacentral:misc_RNA from 1 species
GAUGAAGAACGUAGCGAAAUGCGAUAAGUAGUGUGAAUUGCAGAAUUCAGUGAAUCAUCGAAUCUUUGAACGCACAUUGCGCCCCUUGGUAUCCCGAGGGGCAUGCCUGUUCGAGCGUCAUUUCACCACUCAAGCCUGGCUUGGUGUUGGGCGACGUCCUCUUUGGGGACGCGCCUCGAAACGCUCGUCGGCGUGGCACCGGCUUUAAGCGUAGCAGAAUCUUUCGCUUUGGAAGUCGGGGCCCCGUCUGCCGGAAGACCUGCUCGCAAGGUUGACCUCGGAUCAGGCAGGGAUACCCGCUGAACUUAAGCAUAUCAAUAAGCGGAGGA